rnacentral:rRNA from 1 species
UGGCCUACGGGGGGCUGCAGUGGGGAAUAUUGGACAAUGGGGGCAACCCUGAUCCAGCAAUGCCGCGUGAGUGAUGAAGGCCUUAGGGUUGUAAAGCUCUUUUACCAGGGACGAUAAUGACGGUACCGGAGGAAUAAGCCCCGGCUAACUUCGUGCCAGCAGCCGCGGUAAUACGAAGGGGGCUAGCGUUGCUCGGAAUCACUGGGCGUAAAGGGCGCGUAGGCGGUGUUUUAAGUCGGGGGUGAAAGCCUGUGGCUCAACCACAGAAUGGCCUUCGAUACUGGAAGACUUGAGACCGGAAGAGGACAGCGGAACUGCGAGUGUAGAGGUGAAAUUCGUAGAUAUUCGCAAGAACACCAGUGGCGAAGGCGGCUGUCUGGUCCGGUUCUGACGCUGAGGCGCGAAAGCGUGGGGAGCAAACAGGAUUAGAUACCCUUGUAGUCU